UGGGGAAUAUUGGACAAUGGGGGCAACCCUGAUCCAGCAAUGCCGCGUGUGUGAAGAAGGCCUUAGGGUUGUAAAGCACUUUAGAUGGGGAAGAAGUGUUGGGGUUUAAGAGAUACCAGCAUUGACUGUACCCAUAGAAUAAGCACCGGCUAACUCUGUGCCAGCAGCCGCGGUAAUACAGAGGGUGCAAGCGUUAAUCGGAGUUACUGGGCGUAAAGGGCGCGUAGGUGGUUGUAUAAGUUAGAUGUGAAAUCCCUGGGCUUAACCUAGGAACUGCAUCUAGAACUGUAUGACUAGAGUAUUGUAGAGGGUAGUGGAAUUUCCGGUGUAGCGGUGAAAUGCGUAGAGAUCGGAAGGAACACCAGUGGCGAAGGCGGCUACCUGGACAAAUACUGACACUGAGGCGCGAAAGCGUGGGGAGCAAACAG
rnacentral:rRNA from 1 species